UACGUAGGGUGCGAGCGUUAAUCGGAAUUACUGGGCGUAAAGCGUGCGUAGGCGGUUCGUUAAGUCAGCUGUGAAAGCCCCGGGCUCAACCUGGGAACUGCGGUUGAAACUGGCGAACUAGAAUCUGGCAGAGGGGGGUGGAAUUCCACGUGUAGCAGUGAAAUGCGUAGAGAUGUGGAGGAACACCGAUGGCGAAGGCAGCCACCUGGGCUGAGAUUGACGCUCAGGCACGAAAGCGUGGGGAGCAAACAGG
rnacentral:rRNA from 1 species